CGAGUUCUUUGUUGCCCAGGGGAGACAGAAUACAGCCCGUAAGCUGAGUGAUCGUAAUGGUCUGGGCUUAUAGCUGAACUGUGUGUUAUAGGUCCUUGAUGGUAAGCAGAUGGGCUGUCCAAAGAUGUGCCAGUUUCGCUACUUGGAGCUUCACCCUCGACACAGCUGUCAAGCUCCAGCUCCAGCAGCGACUGGGUCCUCUCGGAGCUGCAGUGCAGGCACCACAUGGCUGGGCCGAAGUCGCGGGCGGAGAGCUCCGCGCUGCCACCAUAGCCGCCCCUCGGCGCCCCGCCCCCGCCCGCUCCCCUCGGCGGCCGCUCGCGGGGCGGGCGGGAAAGGCGCGCGGCGGGAGGGGGAGGGCGCGCGCCCGAAGCGGCUCGCGCCCCCCCACCGUCCCGCGCGCACGCGCUGAGGGCGGUUGCCCCGGGAACGCGCUACACCUCAGGGCCGCGGCGCUCACCUCGAGAACCAGCGGUGCCCGCCGGAGCCGGCCCGGAGCCCGGCGGCGCGCAGGUGCCUCGCGGCAGCCCGGGAGGGGUUUUCCUGAGCGCUACGCGGGCAUAAUUAAAGCCUGGAGACUGUUAAUUACAUCUACAGCGAGUCCUUCGCGCGGCCUGCCCGCCUCUUCAGCAGGGAGAUCGGGGCCUCCUCAGGAAAGCCCGGAGCUCCCGUUUCAGGCAAAGCACAGUGGCUUUUCGAAUAGACACCUUCCGAGCAAAGCGGCUCGCAAACAUCCAGAUUAUUAUUACUUUUUUUUGUUUUCAGCGUCCAGCUGUUCCCACGUGCCUCAGUUCUCUCCUCCGCCAUCUGUUAAAAAAUCCUUCAAGUUUCUUUGAAAUUACUUAAAAGUCCAACGUGAAAAGCGUGUGUGGGACUGGGAACGCCAAGGCCCGGCGCAGGGCUGUGCUAUGCCUCUGCCGCAGCCCAACGAGCAUCCCUGGAAAGCACAGCACACAACAGCAAAGCUAAAAAUACUUCAGAUCCUCCAGAAUAGGAGCAUAAAAUAGGAGUGCAGCCUGCUUAAAACCCUAGCUCAAGGCAAUGGCAGCAGCUGUGCUGGUGGCACAUAUCCCACCCAUUUAUUCUGAGGCAUGCAGCUCGGCAAUGGAAUGGAGCAGUGUCGUCAACUUCGCAGACAUUCAAAACAACAGCAUCUAAGCUUCCCUGUUGUUGCUUUGAAUGUUAGCAUAACAGCCCC
rnacentral:lncRNA from 1 species